UUUCACUGUAGAUGCUUGUUGGGAUUUUAUCGUCUGUAAUUGCAACUUGUUAUGAGAUGGCCAAAACCAUUGCAUUUUGCAAUAGUUGAUGAACUUGAUUAUGUCCUAAUUGAUGAGGGAAGAAACCCAUUGCUGAUAAGGGGUGAGGCUAGCAAGGAUGCUGCACGUAACACAGUUGCUGCUAAAGUAGCUGAGCUUCUCAUGCGUGGCCUCGUAUUUUACUUUUUUGCCCUUCUUUUUCCUUUUUGAUGUCUUGUUAUCCAUCUCCAUUGUAUGCGUAUCUCAUUGUUUGUUCCACUACACAUCAUGUAAAUUUAUAUAUUGUAACAAAUAGAAUUGUAAGACAUUACAUUUUAUGAAAUGGAUUAUAUUUUUUGUAUAUGAUAUUUUAUUUUAUAUUGUGAGGCAUUAAAUGCAAAUUUAAUUUGAAAAUUAGUAAAUCUAUAAAAAAUAUUUUUUUUAACAUUUAAAAUUAUGAUACGCAAACAUGCGUGUCAUCUUCAUUUAUGACAUGGCCUUUCUUGACAGAGGCUUUCUUGAUACGCAUUGCGUGUCAUUAACACGCGCGUCGUAAGGUUACGACACGCGAAUGCGUAUCGUCUUCCUUUAUGACAGGGCCUUCCUUGAUACGCAUUGCGUGUCGUAACCGCGCGUCGUAAAUGCGCGUCAUAAAUGCGCGUCGUAAAUGCGCGUCGUCUCUCUUUAUGACAGGGCCUUC